rnacentral:rRNA from 1 species
UUGACCUCGGAUCAGGUAGGGAUACCCGCUGAACUUAAGCAUAUCAAUAAGCGGAGGAAAAGAAACCACAGGAU